CAGUCGCCGCGGUAAUACGAACCGUGCGAACGUUAUUCGGAAUUACUGGGCUUAAAGCGCGUGUAGGCGGGCCGCCACGUCGGUUGUUGAAAUCCCCCGGCUCAACCGGGGAAGCGGCAUCGAUACGAGCGGCCUUGAGGGGGGUAGGGGGAUCUGGAACUUCCGGUGGAGCGGUGAAAUGCGUUGAGAUCGGAAGGAACGCCCGUGGCGAAAGCGAGGUCCUGGACCCUUUCUGACGCUGAGACGCGAAAGCCAGGGGAGCGAACGGGAUUAGAUACCCCCGUAGUCCCUGUCUCUUAUU
rnacentral:rRNA from 1 species